UAACACAUGCAAGUCGAACGAAGUAGCAAUACUUAGUGGCAGACGGGUGAGUAACAUGUGGGUAUCUGCCCUUUGGCCUGGAAUAACACGAGGAAACUUGUGCUAAUACCGGAUAAGUCUUUGCGGAGAAAGCUUUAUGCACCAUUGGAUGAGCCCGCACUAGAUUAGUUUGUUGGUGGGGUAAUGGCCUACCAAGACUGUGACCUAUAGCUGAUUUGAGAGGAUGAUCAGCCACAUUGGGACUGAGACACGGCCCAAACUCCUACGGGAGGCAGCAGUGGGGAAUCUUGCACAAUGGAGGAAACUCUGAUGCAGUGAUGCCGCGUGAGUGAAGAAGGCCUUUGGGUUGUAAAGCUCUUUCGUCGGGGAAGAAAAUGACUGUACCCGAAUAAGAAGGUCCGGCUAACUUCGUGCCAGCAGCCGCGGUAAUACGAAGGGACCUAGCGUAGUUCGGAUUUACUGGGCUUAAAGAGUUCGUAGGUGGUUGAAAAAGUUGGUGGUGAAAUCCCAGAGCUUAACUCUGGAACUGCCAUCAAAACUUUUCAGCUAAAGUAUGAUAGAGGAAAGCAGAAUUUCUAGUGUAGAGGUGAAAUUCGUAGAUAUUAGAAAGAAUACCAAUUGCGAAGGCAGCUUUCUGGAUCAUUACUGACACUGAGGAACGAAAGCAUGGGUAGCGAAGAGGAUUAGAUACCCUCGUAGUCCAUGCCGUAAACGAUGUGUGUUAGACGUUGGAAAUUUAUUUUCAGUGUCGCAGCGAAAGCGAUAAACACACCGCCUGGGGAGUACGACCGCAAGGUUAAAACUCAAAUGAAUUGACGGGGACCCGCACAAGUAGUGGAGCAUGUGGUUUAAUUCGAAGAUACGCGCAGAACCUUACCAACACUUGACAUGUUCGUCGCGACUCUAAGAGAUUAGAGUUUUCGGUUCGGCCGGACGAAACACAGGUGCUGCAUGGCUGUCGUCAGCUCGUGUCGUGAGAUGUUGGGUUAAGUCCCGCAACGAGCGCAACCCUCACUUUUAGUUGCCAUCAUUAAGUUGGGCACUCUGAAAGAACUGCCAGUGAUAAGCUGGAGGAAGGUGGGGAUGACGUCAAGUCCUCAUGGCCCUUACGUGUUGGGCUACACACGUGCUACAAUGGUAUCUACAACAGGAAGCAAGACUGCGAAGUUUAGCAGAUCCCUAAAAGAUACCUCAGUUCGGAUUGCACUCUGCAACUCGAGUGCAUGAAGCUGGAAUUACUAGUAAUCGUGGAUCAGCGUGCCACGGUGAAUGCGUUCCCGGGUCUUGUACACACCGCCCGUCACACCAUGGGAGUUGGUUCUACCUUAAGGCAAGGUUUCAAACCCUUGACCACGGUAUAGUCGGCGACUGGGGUG
rnacentral:rRNA from 1 species